ACCCUUCUCCGGGUACAGCGUCAGGUGGGGAGUGUGGCUGGGGCAGUACACCUGUCAAACCAUAAGGCAGGUCUCCUAAGGCGAGCUCAGGGAGGACAGAAACCUCCUACAAAGGAGAAGGGCAAAAGCUUACUUGAUCUUGACUUUCAGUACGAAUACAGACCGUGAAAGCAGGGCCUCAUGAUCCUUCUGACUUUUUGGGUUUUGUCCAAAACUCCAUAUUAUGUUUAUGCCUUAAAUUGUAAUUGUUAUUUUUCAGAAGGAGGUUUAGAACCAUUAGAGCUGAAAAUGGCAAAUGUGAAGUAAAAUUUUUAAAAGGAAUUAACAGUAAUUAAAAGCAGAUGCUGU
rnacentral:ncRNA from 1 species